GACUUCUCUCAUUCUACGACUAGAACUUUUAACAUUUGGAUUUUCAUGGGUUUAUUGAACUUCCUCGAUUUUUUGCAUUCAAUCCCUUUUGGAACAUAGGACACGUCAUUGUUUGCACUUCACACUUCCACAUUUCUAUUGUUGGAAACGGUUUUUUCUUUCUUGUUUUUAAUUCAAACUAAUCAUUGUUUCUAGUUCGAGCUGAUCGUUUAUUUUAAAUUCAAAAUGUUCAUUUUUUAAUUUAGUCAUUUUUAAUUCAAACUGAUCGUUGUUUUUAAUUGGAUAUGAUCACUCUUUUUAAUGCAAACUGAUUUUUAAUUCAAACUGACCAUUAUUUCUAAGGUUUGAAAAUUAUAAGGUGGACUUCUCUAGGCCUUUUGGCUAGUGAACUUUCUUCUAUAAUCUUAAGAACUGAUACAAUAGAUACGUUUGAAUUGUUGCUUACAGAAAAUGGGCCACUCUUGCUUUACAAAGUGUUACGAAGAGUACUACAAAGAUGACUAUAAGAUUUGUGAAUUUAAGGCUGUACAUAAGUUGUACUGAUCCACAUGGACAGAUUUGCUACAUACAGCUUAUGGAAUUAUACAAUAUACAAUAAUUUUCAGCUUUUUAUGCCAUAACUACACAUCAACAAGUCUAGUAGCGCCACCUCUCGACAUAGUCUCCUUUGCGCUAGCUGUUACCGGUCUUGUUCCUUGGAAUAGCCUCAGUUCCUAUAAGAUCAAAAGGGCAGGCAUGAGAGAGAGAGAGAGAGAGAUAAAUGGAACCAAACCAAGCACACACUUUCGUAUAUGCAACUAUAGGAACAAUGACAAUGACAUCAAGUAAGCGCCUGCAUCACAUAAUCAAACAAGUAGUAAUUACAAGAACCUUCCCUAUAAGAAAACUUAAGAGAAAAAAGGAAAUGGAGACAUCGAGUAACAAUAACAAAAAGAAGACAUCAUAUAAUCAUGUUUGCCUGAACUAAUUGUAUAAAUAGACUAAUCAGACUGAACUGGACUAAUAUCAAAAGGUUGCAUGAACUAGAGAGCAUAGAUGGUCUAGAGGCUGAUAGGAGCUCGUAUUCGAUCACAUAAUAAACGUCUACACUUAGUGUACGAUUUACUUGUACAACCAUGGGAGUAUACUAUGUUCACAUCUUUUUCUGCUGACUUCUUGCUAUGUUUGAACGUUUUGUUUUGAUGGAAGGGCGUGUCACCUGGAACAUCUUCUCGCUGCCUUCUCUUCCUGCAAAAUAAUUUUAGCACUACUUGCUGACCUAACACAACACAACAUCAGCAGCAAUCGCCCUGAGUAGUCCACCCUCUACAUCUUCCCCUUCUACUUUUGAAACAAGAAAAAACAAUGCACAUAUGACACUCUCAGGACCUCCUCCCCCUCUUCUUCUUGUCCUCGGAAUU
rnacentral:lncRNA from 1 species